rnacentral:rRNA from 1 species
GGGAGGAGCAAGCGUUGUUCGGAAUCACUGGGCGUAAAGGGCGUGUAGGCAGUCAAGUAAGUGGAAUGUGAAAUGGCCCGGCUCACCCAAAAACCUGCAUCCCAAACUGCUUGGCUUAAGUAUGGGAGAGGAUGAGGAAAUUCCUAAUGUAGCGGUGAAAUGCGUAGAUAUCAGGAGGAACACCGGUGACGAAAGCGCUCAUCUGGCCCAAUACUGACGCUGAGGCGCGAAAGCUAAGAAAGCAAACGGGAUUAGAUACCCCGGUAGUCCUAGCCGUAAACGGUGAUCACUAGGUGUUGGAGACAUCGACCCCUCCAGUGCUGCAGCUAACGCAUUAAGUGAUCCGCCUGGAGAGUACGGCCGCAAGGUUG